rnacentral:rRNA from 1 species
UACGGGGGGGGCAAGCGUUGUUCGGAAUUACUGGGCGUAAAGGGCUCGUAGGUGGCCAACUAAGUCAGACGUGAAAUCCCUCGGCUUAACCGGGGAACUGCGUCUGAUACUGGAUGGCUUGAGUUCGGGAGAGGGAUGCGGAAUUCCAGGUGUAGCGGUGAAAUGCGUAGAUAUCUGGAGGAACACCGGUGGCGAAGGCGGAUCUCUGGGCCAUUACUGACGCUGAGGAGCGAAAGCGUGGGGAGCAAACAGG